GGCGCAUUCGUCUGGAGGUCAAGGACACCGUUCUCUCAGGAUGGAGAUCACGGGUUCAAAUCCCCUAUGCGCUUCCA
rnacentral:tRNA from 1 species